AUAAAUCACGACCGUUAGAUC
rnacentral:miRNA from 1 species